CGGAAGUGCUAGGAAGAAUCGCGGUACCUCCGCUCUAAGGGGAGUCCGGCGCCGCCGUGCGCCGCUGCUGUACUUGGCCGCAGUCGCACGCGCCUUUAGCCGCCUUACUGGAGCUGGUGGCCAGCGGCCGCCGCUGCUGCGACCCCUCGACAUGCUGCCGUUCGCGGCUUGGUUGGGCGCUCUGGCUGCGGGCUGCUGGGCGCCCGGACACGGAACCUGAUACCUGAUGCCCCUCUGCACGUUCUGCUCUGCGCGUGCGCUCACUAGCCCCUGGGGACGCUGGUUGUACGCGAGGCGGAGCGGGCGGGAAGCGGGUCACCCCGGGAGCAGGAGAAGGAGGCCUGGACCUCUCGUCUACUCAGCCUGGGUCACCCAGACCGUGUCCCCUACCCCUUGGCAUAAAUUAUGAAGCCAGGACGGACGUGAGUUUUAGUCUUGGCUCCCUGCCACCUUGGGGAAGUUAGUUCUCUGUAAUUCUUCAUCAUAUGACAGCGUUUCCGCCUCCUCGGCUGUCUUCAGGAACAACGGCUCAGUAUCUGCUAAUUCAGUGCCAGUGGUGACUUUACAGAAGUACUGCAAAUACCAAGAAUCGACUCUAAUAAAAUAAAGAACACUCUUCCAUGAGCCAUCAACACCUUCUGAAGACAGCAAGUGCUUUACAAAAUGUCACAGGUUAUCCACAGUGUUUCCACCCAUCACCCUUACAAGAAUUCUCUGCUCAACCCCCAAAGAAGCACAACUUAAUAGCUUUGCACCUGUUAAAACCCACACAAGCAAACAAGACAAGACUGCUGUACACCACCUACCCAAGUUGCAGAGCAAAGCUGGAAUAGAUGCUGUAUACACAAACUGUGUGACAACCUCACAUAUGGCGGUUAAGUGGUUCAUCAGACCACAGGGCUCCCCGUCGGGGGUGUGCACGGGGCAGAGGAAACCCCAGGACUCCGGCAGCAGCCUGCGUACUGUGGUGGUCCGCAUCUUGGCAAAAUCUGCCCCUCGGUGCACACAGCGGAAAUGGGAGAGAUAGCGUAUGAAGUUCAGCUUGUCAGCCACAACACAAAGUCCGGAGUCUUGCAGGAAGCCAAGACCUUAAUAAAACAAAUGUCACUGAAAAUGGGCUAAACUUAA